rnacentral:lncRNA from 1 species
AGAAGGACACCUGUGAUAGCAGACACAAUUGGCCCUGCUCCUUUUGGGGCACCUUGGCUAUUGCCUUCUCUUUUUCCUCAUUGCUGAUCUCCUGUUGGCUGUUGAGUGACUAGAUUUCUUCUUUUUUUUUUAAAUACAGAUUAAGAAUUUAAUUCCCAUAAGACUAGGAGGAAUUUUAAAUGCAAUAGCAAACCAGCAUUUAGGAAAAAUAAAAAAAGCCUAUCUAUACACAGAAAUAUUUGAUUAGAAGUGCUGAGCUAUUGGAAGCAGAAGGUGUAUUUCCUGCAAAGGCAAUAGUGCUAAAGAGUCUGGUUUGUUUGUUUAAAAAAGAUAGAGUUGUUUUAAAAAUUUGGUAAGAAAAAUAUAGGCAAUCAGACUGAGAAAUACCUCAUAGAGUCUAAUGGUUUACUUAUUUUAUUUUCAUCAUAUCUUUACAUUUAGAAAAGAAACUGCAGACAUGAAAAUAAAAAGGGGAAAUCUAAGUGUUUACAUGUUUAUAUUGUUAAUGUGAUGUAUGCAUUAUUAUGAGUGACUAGAUUUCUAAGGCCACUCCAUCCUGGGUCUUUGUUUUGUUUUGAUCUUCAGGUGCUCUUUGUUUUCUACUUUUCUUCUUCUCCUCCUCACCCUCCUUGGACCCUACGAGGGUAAAGAUGACUCCCAUCUGGGAACUGGCUUCCACAGCAGUCACCCUCCCAUCAUGUGGGUCUGUGAGAACAAUGUGGGUCUUUGUCCAGGGACUUCUCAGCAAGUGGCUCCGCAGCCCCUGGAAUUGCUUCUGUCUGUUUGCUCCAAUCAUUGAAGGGAGUCACCAAUGCCGUGAUGCUCACUGGGAACAAGAUGGCGGCCCCUUCAUCCAGCCAGCUUCCGCUUUGGCUUUGACUUCCGGGAUACUCACGACUAGACCACAGAGUUCACUAUUUCCACCAGGGGGGAAAUAG